GAAGCUGACAAUGGAGCCCAGAUCCAUCUGUUUCACCAACGUGUCUGGCCCUGGCAGGCCCGGCCUCAGUCAGACACGCACAGCCAUAUUUUAUGAUCUAGUUUUUGGAUAUUUACAACCAGAAUCUGCAACCGUGGAACCCAAAGAACGGGAAGAGUUGGCUGAACAUCACACAGGAAGCUGACCUGGCAGUCAUGCGCGCACGCAGCCUCACACGCACAACUGCCACUUCGAAGAAAAGGAGGAAAAAUAUAUAAUUGAACAAAAGGAGGAGUGACAGGGGAGAGGAAACAGGAGAGGGGAGGUAGCACAUCUGCACACGACUUUACAGCCUCUGCUGCCACGUCAACGGCAGGCAGACAGCCCGCCAACGGCGUGGUGAGAGGAAUAGGAAUCUGUGCUCUUUUUACCUCUUUCUAAGUGUGAAAAAAAAUCUUCACCCACUAACAGAAACCGCAUUCGACCAGCUGUUAAAAAAAAAAAAAAAAAAAUUCCACCCAAAAUAAGAAACAGUUCAUGACCUGAAAAGGAAAAUAGCUCUUGGAAAGGUCUUGGUGUUUUCCUCCAGCUUCUGAACUCUCUGAAAUAACCAACAGGUUUUCAAUUCCUUCAUUUCAUUCAGGAAACUGUUUCGGAAAGAGCGGUGCAUUUUCCAUGGCUGUGUCCCCAUGACGACAAAAGACAAAUGAACAAUAACAUUAGUCAGGAAAAGUUUUAACGUCUAGAUCUAGACGGCGGAAAGGCCUGACAUGUUUUAUCCACUGAGCUAAUCCAGAUAUCAGGAUUACUUUAAUGAGGUAAUCGGAUGAGGAUCUGUUUCAGGAAAAUGAAAGUGUCAUCACUGAAGGGGCCAUGCUUGUGCUGGAGAGACCUGCUGAGCUUCUUCUCUGGACUUUUUGAGGCAAAAGCAGCAGAGAAACAAAUGUUUGGUGUGAAGGAAAUGAUAGCCGAACUACAAGCAACUUUGGUGUGCACCGUGACGAGGAGAUGCAGCCUGGAAAAAAAGAGACAUUUCUACACCUAACAAGCCACAAAAUAAAAGAAAAUAAAGAAAAAGAACCACACACUAAAGCUGUUGGCUUCUAUAAUUCAGCUGAUUUGAUAAAAAUACAUAAAUGUGUAAAAACCAAAAAAAUGUAAGAGAAACAGGGGUCAAAUUGUGAGAUUUAAAGAAGCGAUGGAGGAAUAGAAAAAAAAAGAAAAAU